CAGCCGCCACGGUAAUACGAAGGGGGCUAGCGUUGUUCGGAUUUACUGGGCGUAAAGCGCACGUAGGCGGAUCCUUAAGUCAGAGGUGAAAUCCCAAGGCUCAACCUUGGAAUUGCAUUUGAUACUGUUUGGCUUGAGUUCGGGAGAGGUGAGUGGAAUUCCCAGUGUAGAGGUGAAAUUCGUAGAUAUUGGGAAGAACACCAGUGGCGAAGGCGGCUCACUGGACCGACACUGACGCUGAGGCGCGAAAGCGUGGGGAGCGAACAGGAUUAGAUACCCCAGUAGUCCCUGUCUCUUAUAC
rnacentral:rRNA from 1 species